rnacentral:rRNA from 1 species
GACGAACGCUGGCGGCGUGCUUAACACAUGCAAGUCGAACGAUGAAGCUGGAGCUUGCUCCGGCGGAUUAGUGGCGAACGGGUGAGUAACACGUGAGCAAUCUGCCCUUCACUCUGGGAUAACUGCGGGUAACUGUAGCUAAUACCGGAUACGAAGCCUUGGGGCAUCCCAGGGCUUGGAAAGAAUUUCGGUGAAGGAUGAGCUCGCGGCCUAUCAGCUAGUUGGUGAGGUAAUGGCUUACCAAGGCGACGACGGGUAGCCGGCCUGAGGGGGUGACCGGCCACACUGGGACUGAGACACGGCCCAGACUCCUACGGGAGGCAGCAGUGGGGAAUAUUGCACAAUGGGCGAAAGCCUGAUGCAGCAACGCCGCGUGAGGGAUGAAGGCCUUCGGGUUGUAAACCUCUUUUAGUAGGGAAGAAGCGCAAGUGACGGUACCUACAGAAAAAGCACCGGCUAACUACGUGCCAGCCGCCGCAGUAA